rnacentral:rRNA from 1 species
UACUUAGGUGGCAAGCGAUGUCCGGAAUUAUUGUGCGUAAAGCGCGCGCAGGUGGUUCCUUAAGUCUGAUGUGAAAGCCCACGGCUCAACCGUGGAGGGUCAUUGGAAACUGGUGAACUUGAGUGCAGAAGAGGAAAUGGGAAUUCCAAGUGUAGCGGUGAAAUGCGUAGAGAGUUGGAGGAACACCAGUGGCGAAGGCGACUUUCUGGUCUGUAACUGACACUGAGACGUGAAUGCGUGGGGAACAAACAGG